rnacentral:rRNA from 1 species
UACAGAGGGUGCAAGCGUUAAUCGGAAUUACUGGGCGUAAAGCGUGCGUAGACGGUUAUCUAAGUCGGGUGUGAAAUCCCCGGGCUCAACCUGGGAAUUGCAUUCGAUACUGGAUAGCUAGAGUUCGGCAGAGGGAAGUGGAAUUUCCGGUGUAGCGGUGAAAUGCGUAGAUAUCGGAAGGAACAUCAGUGGCGAAAGCGACUUCCUGGACCAGAACUGACGUUCAGGCACGAAAGCGUGGGGAGCAAACAGG